rnacentral:misc_RNA from 1 species
GAUGAAGAACGUAGCGAAAUGCGAUACGUAAUGUGAAUUGCAGAAUUCAGUGAAUCAUCGAGUCUUUGAACGCACAUUGCGCCCCCUGGUAUUCCGGGGGGCAUGCCUGUCCGAGCGUCAUUGCUGCCCUCAAGCACGGCUUGUGUGUUGGGCCUCCGUCCUCCUCCCGGGGGACGGGCCCGAAAGGCAGCGGCGGCACCGCGUCCGGUCCUCGAGCGUAUGGGGCUUCGUCACCCGCUCUUGUAGGCCCGGCCGGCGCUUGCCGACACAUCAGUCUUUUUUCCAGGUUGACCUCGGAUCAGGUAGGGAUACCCGCUGAACUUAAGCAUAUCAAUAAGCGGAGGA